rnacentral:rRNA from 1 species
AGGUUACAGAAUGCUGGAAUGCUCUKUACCAAGUCGACGCUAGAUGAUCUGCGCGAUUAGUGUGUGGGUACGCCACCAAGCAGUAAUCGGUACGGGUGUGGAGCAGAGCCCGGAGUUGGAUUCUGAGACACGAAUCCAGGCCCUACGGGGCGCAGCAGGCGCGAAAACUUUACAAUGCGGGCAACCGUGAUAAGGGAACCUCGAGUGCCUGUAUAUGCAGGCUGUCCAGGUGUCUAAAUCACACCUGAAGAAAGGGCCGGGCAAGACCGGUGCCAGCCGCCGCGGUAAUACCGGCGGCUCGAGUGGUGGCCACUUUUAUUGGGCUUAAAGCGUUCGUAGCUGGGUUGUUAAGUCUCUUGGGAAAUCCGACGGCUCAACCGUCGGGCGUCUAAGAGAUACUGGCAAUCUUGGAACCGGGAGAGGUGAGGGGUACUUCGGGGGUAGGAGUGAAAUCCUGUAAUCCUCGAGGGACCACCUGUGGCGAAGGCGCCUCACCAGAACGGCUUCGACAGUGAGGGACGAAAGCUGGGGGAGCAAACCGGAUUAGAUACCCGGGUAGUCCCAGCCGUAAACGAUGCGCGUUAGGUGUAUCGACGACCACGAGUCGUCGAGGUGCCGAAGGGAAACCGUGAAACGUGCCGCCUGGGAAGUACGGUCGCAAGGCUGAAACUUAAAGGAAUUGGCGGGGGAG